UCCGACUAACUCAUUAAAAUAUUCAUCACUAACAUGAAAGUACUUGACCUUGCAAAAUGAUAACAGUGCCAGACCCCAAUUAGAUGCAAUGGCAAUUAGUAAUUUUAAAAUGGUGUAUCCAGAAGACAGGUGCUGCUGAUAUAAGUGGGUUGUUAACCCAUCUGCUGAAGUAAGUGCCACUUUCCUCGUCAUCUGGGAUGCUAGCACAGUGUUAGGCCAAUGGGGAAACAGCAUUGGUGAAAGCAAAAAUAUUGGAACCAACCUAAAAGUGUAGGUGAAGUUAAAUAAAUCAUUUGCGGAAUUCUCUGUACCCAGUUUUCAAAAUGAGGGGUUCCUUGCCACGCUCUGGGAAGGUGUCCAUGGUUCUCAGUGCCCACACAGCAGCAGCCCUAAGAAAAUAAUUAUUUUUUUUAAAAAAAAUUUUAACGUUUAUUUAUUUUUGAGACAGAGAGAGACAGAGCAUGAACGGGGGACGGGCAGAGAGAGAGGGAGACACAGAAUCGGAAGCAGGCUCCAGGCUCCGAGCCAUCAGCCCAGAGCCGGACGCGGGGCUCGAACUCACGGACCGCGAGAUCGUGACCUGAGUCGAAGUCGGACGCCUAACCGACUGAGCCACCCAGGCGCCCCAGAAAAUAAUUAUUAAAUGAGUAAGUGGGUACAUUGUUAAGUGAACAAAAGUAAACAAUACAUACAACAGAAUUCCAUUUAUUGUUUCAAAAGGGGCUACAUGUGUUCAACGAUAUUUAUUUUUUUCCUAUCUGCAUAAACACAGAAAAUAUCUGGAAGAAUAUGGUACCCAACUGCUACAGUGGCUACUUCUGAAAAGAGAUUGGAAAGAGAGAGGAGAUUUUCCAGUUCAUAAAAGUGAAAUCAGGUGCUGGAAGGUGGCGAAGGAAAUGGUGCUGAAGACAAUUCCUGUGACCGUUUGGGAGUCAGUGACCCAGCCGAGGAUCAGCAAAUGGCUUUUCACUCACCACCAAGCACCUCAUACAACCAGUCUACUAAACUAUAAGAGUUGUUUGCACCGUAAAUGUUUAUUGAUCACUUAGCAUGCGUCCAGCGCAUAAGUCACAGUUCCUGUCCCCUGGCAUAUGGGUCAGUGAGCUAUUCAUAUAGAUGAAGAGGCCAGUCAACAGAUUUAUUGAGCAAUUGCUAUGUACCAAGCACGGUUGUAGGAAAUUAAGAUAAAAUAUGGUAAGCCCUAACACUGAAUGUUAGCAAAGUGUUAGAGGAAUAAAUCUGCAGUGUCACAUAACCCCUCA
rnacentral:lncRNA from 1 species